rnacentral:rRNA from 1 species
UGUGUUGCUUGCAAGGGCGUAUGGUGGAUGCCUUGGCAGACAGGACCGAUGAAGGACGUUUGAGGCUGCGAUAUGCCUCGGGGAGCCGCCAACAGGGCUUUGAUCCGAGGAUUUCCGAAUGGGGGAACCCACCGACCGUCAUGGGUCGGUACCGGCUUCGGCCGGGGGGUACGCAGGGAAGUGAAACAUCUCAGUACCUGCAGGAAAGGAUAUUCCGUGAGUAGUGGCGAGCGAAAGCGGAUGAUGGCCAAACCUUGCGCGUGUGAUACCCGUCGGGGGUUGCGCGCGGGGUGUUGCGGGAUCGCGUGCGCCGGCUCCGACGGGCCGGCCGGCAGUUGCAGAAAACCAUGUGUCAGGGGAACCGGGUUGAAUACCGGGCCGCAGAGGGUGAGGGCCCCGUACCUGAACGCGCAUGGUCUGCCGAUCGCGUCUCCCAAGUAGCACGGGUCCCGUGGAACCCCGUGCGAAUCCGCCCAGACCGUUGGGUAAGCCUGAAUAUUCCUGUCUGACCGAUAGCGAACGAGUACCGUGAGGGAAAGGUGAAAAGUACCCCGGGAGGGGAGUGAAACAGUCUCUGAAACCGUGCGCCUACAAUCCGUCGGAGCCCUUUUGUGGGGUGACGGCGUGCCUAUCGAAAAAUGAGUCUGCGAGUCAGUGGCAUGUGGCGAGCAUAACCCGUGUGGGGUAUGCGUAGCGAAGGCGAGUCUUAAAAGGCGUUUGAGUCGCGUGUCCUGGACCCGAAGCGGGAUGAUCUAGCCCUGAGCAGGUUGAAGCGCGGGUAAGACCGCGUGGAGGACCGAACCCACCUGGGUUGAAAACCGGGGGGAUGACUUGGGGCUAGGGGUGAAAGGCCAAUCAAAUUCCGUGAUAGCUGGUUCUCUCCGAAAUGCAUUUGGGUGCAGCGUCGGGUCAUUACGUCCCGGGGGUAGAGCUACUGGAUGCUUGCGGGCCCGUAUCGGGUACCAACAGCAACCAAACUCCGAAUACCGGUGACGCGUAUCCCGGCAGUGAGUCGGCGGGGGAUAAGCUUCGUCGUCGAAAGGGAAACAGCCCAGACCGUCGUCUAAGGUCCCGAAGCGUGUGCUAAGUGGGAAAGGAUGUGGAGUCGCAUAGACAGCCAGGAGGUUGGCUCAGAAGCAGCCACCCUUGAAAGAGUGCGUAACAGCUCACUGGUCUAGUGGUUCCGCGCCGACAAUGUAGCGGGGCUCAAGCACACCACCGAAGACGCGGCAGUAUUUUGUACUGGGUAGGAGAGCGUCCCAUGAGGGGCGAAGCGGCCGUGUGAACGCGCCGUGGACUUCAUGGGAGUGAGAAUGCAGACAUGAGUAGCGAGAGACGGGUGAAGAUCCCGUCCGCUGGAUGACCAAGGGUUCCAGGGCCACGUUCAUCGUCCCUGGGUGAGUCGGGUCCUAAGGCGAGGCCGACAGGCGUAGUCGAAUGGAUGAACGGGUCGAUAUUCCCGUACCGGCUUUCAGCCGCCAAAACCGAGGCUUGGAGUACUAACCUCCGGGUCCGGGCUUACUGCUCCUUCGGGGGCGGGAUGCCCUGGCCUGUUGGGACCGAUCCUUGUAGUAGGUCAGCGCAGGAGUGACGCAGAAGGGUAGCCGGCCGCGGAGGUGGUCUUCCGUGGUCAAGCACGCAGGGCGUGGGACAGGCAAAUCCGUCCCGCAUGGGUCCGAGGUGCGAUGAUGGGGGCCUUAUGGCCCGAUAUCCGGUGAUCCCGGCUGCCGAGAAAAGCUUCGGCGUCAGGCUCGAAGCCGCCCGUACCCCAAACCGACACUGGUGGUCAGGUAGAGAAUACCAAAGCGAUCGAGCGAAUCCUGGUCAAGGAACUCGGCAAAUCACUCCCGUUCCUUCGGUUUAAGGGAGACCCCCGAUGGUGAACACACUUGCUGUGGGAGCUUUUGGGGGUGGCACAGACCAGGGGGUAGCGACUGUUUACCAAAAACACAGGUGCAUGCGAAGGCGCAAGCCGCUGUAUAUGCACUGACGCCUGCCCGGUGCC